rnacentral:lncRNA from 1 species
AAGAGGCGCUUUCUUAAAUUUCAAAUUGUGUCAUUUAUUUGUUUAUUUCAAGUGAUUCAUUAUAUCAAUUUAUUAUAAAAGAAUAAACAACUAUGAUAAGUACAAAGAUCAUAAUCGAUUUUAUCAAAUUUUUGCCCCCAAAGUGCAGUUUAUUGAGGGUAGCUUCUAGCUUCUUUUUUUUUUUAAGUGAAUGCAGCUUCUAGCUACUUAAACACACUUAUUUAAGAAUCAUUAAUUGUUUCUCUCGAGAUACUCCUUGGAAGCUUGUGUAAUAGCUUCUACUGCGACGGUAGGCUUUGGAUCUUUCGCUUCAAAUUCUUUCUUGACAGCAUACGAAAUGAUAGAUUUUAUGAUGCAUGAGUUUUGGGAUUUCUCUUUUAUAUCAAAUUCAACGAUUAGAACUGAGCAACCAAAUGCUAGACAAUCACCUUCCAAGGCUUUUGCCGCUUUCACUCUUUUUUUGUCAUCAAUCACAAUGAACUCCUCUGUAUAACUUGAAUUCCCUGCUUCAUCUUCAACAUUAGCCCAAACCAUUCGAAAACCAAGAGUAUUGAUCCAAGGCAAAAUUGAAUUUCGGAGGAUAUUUAAUCAUCUCAAAGCAAUAAAAACAAGAGUGUUGUCAAAGAAAAACUUGAUUUUAUAGAGUAUUUAAAAUCAGCUCAAGCACAAGAAAAAACAGGAAUAUUGAUAAAAGAAAAGCUUGGUUUUAAACAGUAUGCAUCGCCACCAAGAUUUGCUUAAAAUAGGGAUUAAAGCCUCCGUCAGGCAACUAAGUGUCCAUGACCUCAAACUAUUAAAAAACUUGAUGUUAAAAGGGUAUUUUAUAGAGGUUUAAGUACCUGGAACGAAAGUGGUUUUCGCAACAGUUCCGACCCCACCAUCACCUUUCAAAACCUGAGUGCUCUGGACAUUUGGAAGCUUAGGAACAAUAAUAUUUAUGAGGCCAAGGUUCCUAUAAAGUUCCCAAGCUUCAUAUGCAGGCGCAUUCACUUCAAGCUCCUUCGUAAUAUGCUUCAAUUCCCGAGAAUUAACCCCAACGUAGCAAGCAAACAGAACAAAGAAAACCAAUGAGAAUUGCUUCAGCAUUUUUUUUCUUUGGAAUUUUGCUAGCUUUAAACCAUGGAAUGAUUCUCUGGUUUCUCUAUUUCUGCAAUUUUCAGGGUUUAUGUAGAGCAUAGAAAUAGGUUAAUACGUUCACUGAAUGAUAUAUUUAAAAAUAUCUAAUCUAUAAAUCUAUAAUAUAUGGCUACCAAUAAAUCAAGGAUUGGAUAACGUUGCUUGUCUUUUAAAAAUAUCUGUAAGAAUUUGAAGAAAACAAAAAACAAAAAUAAUGGAUGAAGGUAACUUACCUUUUUAUUCAGCAAACAUUCAACAUUUAUAAAAAAUAAAAUCAACAUCAACAUCUUACUUUCUCCUAAACUUAAGCAAUAUGCAAAAUAACUAACUCUUAAAAAACUGAAAUAAACGUGGACAUGUUUCAAUCCUGAAGCAGUUUCUUAACACUCCUACUUGCUUUAGGAGUUGCAAAUACCAAGUCUUGACCUCGGAAGCUCAAACUUGCUAGCAAGUAAUGAUUUGGUUAAAAUGUCCGCAAUUUAAUUUUCUGUUUUGCAAAAGACAAGGAUCACAUCUCAAUGCUUCAGUUCUUCCCUUAGAAAGAAUAGCUUGAUAUUAAAGUGUUUAGUCUUCCCAUGAAACACGAGAUUAUGAGAGAUAGCAAUAGCAGCUUGGUUGUCAACAAAAAUCUUUGUGCUUUCCUUCUGCUCCAGACCAAGAUCAAGUAAAAUUUUCCUCAGCCAUAAAGCUUGAUUACCAGUAGCUGUGGCAGUAAUAAACUCUGCUUCGGCAGUGGAUUGGGCUACAGUUUCUUGGUUUUUCGAGUUCCAUGAGAAAACACCAGAGCCAAAAGUAAAACAGUAACCUGAAGUGCUCCUUGUACAAGCCCAAAUUUACCCAGGGCCCAAUACCCAUUACAACCAAACCAGGCCCAAAAUAAAAAUAAACCCUAGCCCAACAACCUAAAAAAUUUUCAGCCAAAGGGAAACCCUAAAGUGCCGCCGCUCUUCUGACCUCUGGCAGCCACCGACUCCGCCACCGUAUGGUCUCCUCACCUACCAUCUGCCGCCACCUGCUUUACCAGGACCUGCAAACACGCAACAAAGAGAAGCAGAAGCAGAAGCAGAGGGAAACAAGUCCAGAAUAGCAAAAAAAUUUAGAUUUUCUUCCGGCUAUAAAACCGAUUUGCAAAAACGAAACGGGGAGAUUUUUCUUUUAGGUUUUUUCUUCCUUUCUUUCUUUCCGCUAAAGCCGAAUUUGCUGUAAUAGGGGGGGGACAAAAAAUCAAAAACAAAAAAGAGAGAAUGAAAUAAAAACAAAGAUAAAGGUUUUAGUUUCCAAAACUUUUUUGUUCAUUUUUUUAUUUUUAUUUUUAUUUUUGUUUUGUUCAAAAUAUAUAUGUAUAUACGCAUAUGCAGCAAAAAAAGAAAAAGAAAAAAUACCUUUUUUUGAAUUUCCGGCAACCGUGCACGGUGGCCGGCGUGACGGCGGCCACGGUGGUCAUCGGCCGGGAUCCACGCCGGAGGAGGAGAGCCUGAGAGAGAAUGAAAUAUUUUUUCUAUUUUUUUUCUGGAAGAGGGAAGGGAAAUGAGGAUUUUCACAAAAAAAUACCUUUAUACUAGUAUUGAAACGGCGUCGUUUCAUUCAGAGACUUUAGGCGCCAAACGGCGCCAUUUUGCGCGACCCGAGCGUGACCCGACCCAUUACCAGGAGGAUCCGCGUGAUUUGUGAAUAGGGUAUAAUUACUAUUCUAGUCCUUCCGAUUUUCAUUACAUUUUCAAUUAAGUACUCUUUGAUUUUUCAAUUUCGCCCCGAUAUUUGUCGCGCUCUCAAUUUAGUCCUCACUAGGACGACGCCAUUUUGGAGGGUGAGGGAUUAUUUCCCAUUUAGUCCCUCCUCAUUAUCGGCGAGUUCAGUUUGGUCCUUUCUCUUUUAUUUAUUUGCGAUUUGACCCCGAAUGUUAUUUUUUAACUUCAAUGUAGCCCUCUGAUUGUAUUUUGGUUAUUUCAUUAUUAAAACUAAUAUAUUAUUAUUAUUAUUAUUAUUAGUAUUAUUAUCUAUAUUAUUGUUAUUAUUGUUAUAUUUCUAUUUAUACCUAUUUAUGUAAAUUUUAAAUAUAUUUAUCUUAUUAUAUUAUUAUUAUUUUAAGUACUUAUAUAUAUAUACGCAUAUAUAUAUUUUUUUAAACUUGAAAUUAUUUUGUUAUUCCAUUAGUAACAUUAAUAGUAGUAUUAUUAUCCUUAUUUAUAUUCUUUACCUCAAAUUUUGCUACAUACAUAUAUACAUAUAUACAUACAUAUCUUUGAUUUAUAUAUAUAUACUUAUUUAUAUUUUUUAUAUAUUUUAUAAUUUAUAUAUACAUAUAUUUAUAUCUAUAUACAUAUUUUCUAAAUUUUUAUAAGUAUAUAUAUAUAUUUAUAUGUACGUACUUAUAUAUUUUUUAUACUUUCUAAUUUGCAUAUACAUAUUUACAUCCAUAUUUUUUAAUUUAAUUUAAACAUAUAUAAAUUAUCAUCAUUUACUUGUUUAUAUAUCUUUUAAACUUUGAUGCAUACUUACGUAUAUUUUUAUAUUGUAUAAAUUUUUUUAAUAUAAAUAUACAUAUUUUUAUUUUCAUGAAUACAUACAUAUACUUAUAUGUUUUUUUUUUAUAUUUUCAUAUGAUUUAUAUAUAUACCUACAUAUUUUUAGAUAUAUACAUACUCAUGUUUUUCACGCUGUAUAAUUUAUGUAUGUACAUAGAUAUGCAUAUUCAUUUUUAUAUAAACAUAUAUACAUUUGCACAUUUUAUAAUUUAUAACUUAAAUAUAUUGAUAUACAUACAUAUAUCUUUUAUCUUUUAUUAUUUGUUAUUGUCGUUCUAUUUGACAUUUACUUAUUCAUUUAUUUAUGUGUUGGUCAUUAUUUUUAGGAAAUGCUUUAUUUCCUUUUUUUAUUUACUUAUUAUUUCAUAUAUACUUGAUUUUUUUUUUAUUGUUGCUCAUAUUAGUUAUGCUUGUAUUAUCAUGUCCAUUAUCAUUUUGUUACACAUAUUAAUAUUGUGUUCAUUCCUACCUGUUUAUGUUAAAUUAAUUUUAUUUAAUGUAAAUCAAGGCUUCAAAAUAAGUAGAAUUUCGUGUUUAGAUUCGAGAGGAUUGAGCCCUAACGUAUUGGGUUCCAAUUUUCUUCGUUGAAUCUAAAUAAUCGAGACUACUCUUUAUAAAAACAUAAAUAAAAAGCUCAUUAUCGAGAGUUCAAUAUUUUGUGUCCUAACGCAUUGGAUAUAAUACGUUGUUUUCCUGAGAUGAGGAUUUUACUAUUGUUCAACUAAAAGACCACAUUUGGGGAUUUUUUAAAGUAUAGGAACACAUUAGUAUUAUUUGUUUUAGUACGUCUUCUUCGUUUGGUUUUAUGUGCAAUCUAUUUGUCUUAAUUCCAUAUACAUAGAGAGAGAGGAGGCAUCCUCUUCUAUAGGUGGUUUUAAAUAUUUUUAUAUUUUUUUACAAUUAGUAUUUUAUUUUAAUAAUAUGAUCAUCAAAUUUUAUGUUUCAUUUAUAUGUGUUAAAUUUGGAAAAAAAAUAUUUUUUUAUUAUUUAUAGAAAUAUAGACAAUAUUUUAAAUUGAUAAUCAAAAUAUUUGAUCAAUUCAAAAUUUUACAUACAUUACAGUACCAAACAAACUUUAACCAUUACUUUAAACCUCUAAACCUUAAAUCCUAAAAUUAAAAUUAUAUACCCAUGAACUAAGUUAAUUAAUAGUCAUAGUAAUUGAUUUCAUAGAUAUGUAUAGUUUAAAAAAAUAAUUUAUUUAUUAUAUUAUUAAUCAAGGUUUUCGUAUAUAGCUAAUGAUACUCACAAAUUUUGACUACUAAUUUAUUAAGAAUUAAUCAAAUUGAAGCUAUACCUUUAUUUAUUAAAAUCGAAAUACUUGCAAGAUUGAAAUCUCAAUUUGUAUCAAUUAAAUAAAUUGUUAGAAUUCCCAAAAUGAUACAUUUUUCUUGCCGACUAUUAAGUAGCCUUUUUCCAAUUUUUAUUAUACAAUAUAGUUUCAAACUCACACGUACACCCUACACACGACUACGCUACCACACAAGUAAACCUAUGAAUUAAAUCUUGGUCAUGAGUACAAGUGAACACCCUUUCGGCCAAUGGCCUCUUAUGAUAUUUACCUCCAUUAGAAUAAUUCGUUUUCCUUUUAUUUUGUUAUAAAUCUCUAUUCUAAUUAUUAUUAUUUAUUUUUUUUACUAUAGUUGAAAAUGAAAUAAAAUGCACAAUUUUAAACUAAUGUAUAUAUCUCUCGCAUUUUUUCCUCUCAUCUUUCUAGAUUGAAAAUAUUGAUUUUUAUGCUUUAAGAUGGAAAAUGGUUAUCUCUCCUGUUUUUUUUCCUCUAACUUUUCUUCUCAAUCGAACACACUCAAAAUUUAUUUUUUAUUUACUUUUUUACUAUCCUCCUAUCUUUUUAUUUUUCACCCAACUAAUAACACCCUAAACUCUCUUCGGAAGUGUAAAUACCUGCAUAUGUUGGUAAUUUAUUUUUUAACUCCAAUAAGAAGUGUUUAUAAAUUAAAGACGCGCUUUCUUAAAAUUCAAAUUGUGUCAUUUAUUUGUUUAUUUCAAGUGAUUCAUUAUAUCAAUUUAUUAUAAAAGGAUAAACAACUAUGAUAAGUACAAAGAUCAUAAUCGAUUUUAUCAAAUUUUUGCCCCCAAAGUGCAGUUUAUUGAGGGUAGCUUCUAGCUUCUUUUUUUUCUUUUUUUUUAAGUGAAUGCAGCUUCUAGCUACUUAAAACACACUUAUUUAAGAAUCAUUAAUUGUUUCUCUCUCGAGAUACUCCUUGGAAGCUUGUGUAGCAGCUUCUAUUGGGAGGGUAGGCUUUGGAUCUUUAGCUUCAAAUUCUUUCUUGACAGCAUACGAAAUGAUAGAUUUUAUGAUGCAUGAGUUUUGGGAUUUCUCUUUUAUAUCAAAUUCAACGAUUAGAACUGAGCAACCAAAUGCUAGACAAUCACCUUCCAAGGC